rnacentral:rRNA from 1 species
GACUUUACCAGACAAGCUGAGAGGAGGUGCAUGGCCGUCGCCAGCUCGUGCCGUGAGGUGUCCUGUUAAGUCAGGUAACGAGCGAGACCCCUGCUUCUAGUUGCUACUCCUGUUCUCCGGAAUAGGAGGGCUAAUUAGAAGGACUGCCGCCGCUAAGGCGGAGGAAGGAGGGGGCUACGGCAGGUCAGUAUGCCCCGAAACCCUCGGGCCACACGCGGGCUGCAAUGGUAAGUACAAUGGGUACCAAUUCCGAAAGGAGGUGGCAAUCUCGCAAAACUUACCUCAGUUAUGAUUGAGGGCUGAAACUCGCCCUCAUGAAUAUGGAAUCCCUAGUAACCGCGUGUCAUCAUCGCGCGGUGAAUACGUCCCUGCUCCUUGCACACACCGCCCGUCGCUUCAUCGAAGUUGGUUUUAGGCGAGGUGGUGCCAUGUUGGCACUAUCGAACCUGAGGUCAGCAACGAGGGAGAAGUCGUAACAAGGUGGCCGUAGGGGAACCUGCGGCUGGAUCAC